CCAUCUUCUUUGAUUUCUUCGUUAGGUGAUGAACUUCUCUUCUCAGAUCCCGGAUCAUAGACUUCAGAGGAAUCUCCUGUGGUAGGAAAAGAGUUUCGACAGGGUACUAUUGUCGAAAAAUAAGAGCAUCACAAUGCAAAUCAUUGCAAGAAAAAAAAAGAAAAAGGAAGUAGAAGAAGAAAAAGGAGCUCUCUAUAAAAUGGAAUCCGAUUUCAUCGAUUGA
rnacentral:lncRNA from 1 species